rnacentral:rRNA from 1 species
GACGAACGCUGGCGGCGUGCUUAACACAUGCAAGUCGAACGGGUCUGCCCUGUUUUUUGCGGGGUGGGUCAGUGGCGAACGGGUGAGUAACACGUGAGUAACCUGCCCCUCACUUCUGGAUAACCGCUUGAAAGGGUGGCUAAUACGGGGUGUUCUGGCUGUGCCGCAUGGUGUGGCUGGGAAAGAUUCACUUUUGUGGUGUUUUGGUGGGGGAUGGGCUCGCGGCCUAUCAGCUUGUUGGUGGGGUGAUGGCCUGCCAAGGCUUUGACGGGUAGCCGGCAUGGGAGGGUGGGCGGUCACACUGGGGCUGAGAUACGGCCCAGACUCCUGCGGGAGGCAGCAGUGGGGGGUAUUGGACAAUGGGCGGAAGACUGAUGCAGCGACGUCGCGUGAGGGAUGGAGGCCUUCGGGUUGUGAACCUCUUUCGCCGGUGAAGAAGGUCCUGCUUUUUGUGGUGGGGUUGACGGUAGCCGGGUUAUGAAGCGCCGGCUAACUACGUG